rnacentral:lncRNA from 1 species
AUAUAUAAAUGAUAUUGAAAAAUAAUAAAUAUUAUUUUUUAGAUACUUCUAAUGGUGUAGAUUAUUUUCAAUAGAACCUACUGUCGAUUCAAAUGUCCCAUCAUCAAAAAUAAUUUAUAGCACAAAGGCCUUCGUCUAGUAUACUACCCGGAUUCCAAUAUUAUAUAAGUUUUUUUUUUUUUUUAAGAGAUAGGUAGCACGUUACCCGCUUCUUUUAUUUCAUUUUAGAAAUAAACUUAGCUAAAAAUAUGAAUCAACUAGGAUUCGAACUUGGGACCUUGGGUACCAAUCAGCAAGUUUUUCAUUUUAGAAAUAAACUUAGCUAGAAAUGUGAAUCAAUUAGGAUUCGAACUUGGGAUCUUGGGUACCAACCGGCAAGUAUUUCAUUUUAGAAAUAAACUUAGCUAGAAAUGUGAAUCAAUUAUGAUUCGAACUUAAGAUCUUAGGUACCAACCACCAAGCCCUUUGCCACUUGCUCUAGGAACGGCUAGUUCCAACUUAUUAAGUUAUUUUCUAGUUUUGUGAUAUCUAACAUGUCAGCCAAAAAUGAACAAUUAAAAUAAAAACUAAAAUCCUGUCCAUUUACUCGGGUUGUUUGCUGGUGUGUUAGUAAAGUAAAAUACAGAGCAUUUUCCUAAGGUGGCAGAGAAGUUGGAAGAUUAUUUUCU